AGUGCUGGGAUUACAGGCAUGAGCCAUUGUGCCCAGGCAAUAAUGCUUUUUUUUUCUUCUCUUUUUUUUUUGAGUCAGGAUUUUACUGUGUCACCCAGGAUGAAAUGCAGAUGCAGUGGCAUGAACACAGAUCACUGCAGCCUUGACCUCCUGAGCUUGAGUGAUCCUCCCACCUCAGCCUCCCCAGUAUCUGGAACCUCAGAAUAGGAGGUGGGACUGGAGGUGCAUUCCGUUAAGAGCUGCUCAAGUAAGAAAAGCUGGCAAGAACUAGAUAGACAUGACUAUGUAGGUAAAUAGGAAAAUAAAAACCAGUGUGUGGUGUCCCCUGUCUCGUUCUUUGUUGAUGGAUACCUGGAGGGAGGUGAGAAGUGAGGAGGAGGACUCAAGAUGGUGCUGUGAGAACAACCCAGGAUUGAGGCUCUCGCUGGAUGCGUGGAGAGGGGACAUGGAUGAAUCUGGAGAACAUCAUCCUCAGCAACUGACACAAGAACAGAAAAUGAAACACCGCAUAUUCUCACUCAUAGGAACUUCCAAGGUGAUAAAGUUUUUUGUUGUACCCCAAACUCAACUCAACAUGAAUUUCUUUCUGAAGACAUAUUUCACUCUUCAGGCAGAAUUAGAUUACCUCAUCUUUGCUCAUGAAGCUAUGAGUUUGAAAUUCAUUAAAGAUAACAUUUAUUACAUUGUACUAAAACUGUUGGUUUAUUUAUAUGAUAUUUCAGUCAUCUAUGAGUUAUUUGA
rnacentral:lncRNA from 1 species